AACCUAGCACACCUGCGGUGUGUACCUGCGGAGGGAUCAUUAAAAAGAGUGUGUACCCCUCUGUAAAAUGAGUGGGUUACCUCCCGUCCUUUGUUGACCUCUUAGGAGGUUAUUUUGAACUUUCUGCUUCGGUGGGGUUAAACCUACCGGAACACCCUCAAAUUCUUAUCAUUUAAAAAUUGUUCAGUCUGAUUUUUGUUAAUAAAAACAAAAAACUUUCAACAACGGAUCUCAGAUCGG
rnacentral:misc_RNA from 1 species